rnacentral:rRNA from 1 species
CCUACGGGUGGCUGCAGUGGGGAAUAUUGGACAAUGGGGGGAACCCUGAUCCAGCCAUGCCGCGUGUGUGAAGAAGGCCCUCGGGUUGUAAAGCACUUUCAGGGAGGAAGAACGCCUGGUGGUUAAUACCCAUCAGGAAAGACAUCACUCACAGAAGAAGCACCGGCUAACUCCGUGCCAGCAGCCGCGGUAAUACGGAGGGUGCGAGCGUUAAUCGGAAUUACUGGGCGUAAAGCGCGCGUAGGUGGCUUGAUAAGCCGGUUGUGAAAGCCCCGGGCUCAACCUGGGAACGGCAUCCGGAACUGUCAAGCUAGAGUGCAGGAGAGGAAGGUAGAAUUCCCGGUGUAGCGGUGAAAUGCGUAGAGAUCGGGAGGAAUACCAGUGGCGAAGGCGGCCUUCUGGACUGACACUGACACUGAGGUGCGAAAGCGUGGGUAGCAAACGGGAUUAGAUACCCUGGUAGUC